AUUCCAGCUCCAAUAGCGUAUAUUAAAGUUGUUGCAGUUAAAAAGCUCGUAGUUGAACUUUGGGCCUGGGCGGACGGUCUACCUAUGGUAAGCACUGUUGCGGCCGGGUCUUUCCUUCUGGCUAGCCCUCGGGCGAACCAGGACGAUUACUUUGAGGAAAUUAGAGUGUUCAAAGCAGGCCUUUGCUCGGAUAUAUUAGCAUGGAAUAAUAGAAUAGGACGCAUGGUUCUAUUUUGUUGGUUUCUAGGACCAUCGUAAUGAUUAAUAGGGACGGUCGGGGGCAUCAGUAUUCAGUCGUCAGAGGUGAAAUUCUUGGAUUGACUGAAGACUAACUACUGCGAAAGCAUUUGCCAAGGACGUUUUCAUUA
rnacentral:rRNA from 1 species